ACGGUCCUAAGGUAGCGAAAUUCCUUGUCGGGUAAGUUCCGACCUGCACGAAAGGUGUAAUGAUUUGGGCACUGUCUCAACGAGAGACUCGGUGAAAUUAUAAUACCCGUGAAGAUGCGGGUUACCCGCGACAGGACGGAAAGACCCCAUGGAGCUUUACUGCAGUUUAAUAUUGGGUAUCUGUCAAGCAUGUACAGGAUAGGUAGGAGCCGGAGAAGAUAGGACGCCAGUCUUAUCUGAGGCGCUGUUGGGAUACUACCCUUGCUUGACGGAUGCUCUAACUCAGGCCUGUGAUCCAGGCCGAGGACAGUGUUUGACGGGCAGUUUGACUGGGGCGGUCGCCUCCUAAAGUGUAACGGAGGCGCCCAAAGGUUCCCUCAGAAUGGUUGGAAAUCAUUCGCAGAGUGUAAAGGUAAAAGGGAGCUUGACUGCGAGAGAGACAACUCGAGCAGGUACGAAAGUAGGGCUUAGUGAUCUGGUGGUACCGCAUGGAAGGGCCAUCACUCAACGGAUAAAAGCUACCCUGGGGAUAACAGGCUUAUCUCCCCCAAGAGUUCACAUCGACGGGGAGGUUUGGCACCUCGAUGUCGGCUCAUCGCAUCCUGGAGCUGAAGUCGGUUCCAAGGGUUGGGCUGUUCGCCCAUUAAAGCGGUACGCGAGCUGGGUUCAGAACGUCGUGAGACAGUUCGGUCCCUAUCCGGCGCGGGCGGAGGAUAUUUGAGAGGAGCUGUCCUUAGUACGAGAGGACCGGGAUGGACGGACCACUGGUGUAUCUGUUGGCUAUCGGAGCCAUGGCAGAGUAGCCAAGUCCGGCAGGGAUAAACGCUGAAGGCAUCUAAGCGUGAAGCCCCCCUCAAGAUAAGAUAUCCCAUCAUAAGAGUAAGACCCCUUGAAGACUACAAGGUUGAUAGGCUUGGAGUGUAAUCGUGGCAACACGUUCAGCUGACAAGUACUAAUAGGUCGAGGGCUUAUCCU
rnacentral:rRNA from 1 species